AGCUGCAUGAACAUAACAACAUCAUGAACAUCACAUGUCUGCUUUAGCGAAAUGUAAAAGAAGAAGCUGAAACGGAUUUAAUAAAUUGACCUGCUUACUGUAGUCAAGAAAUUAUAGUCAGUAAAUUGUAUGUCUUGCCAUCUUGCAGGAAAAUAGGGUCAGGAACCAAUAUGCACUUGAUUCGUUUGGUUGAUCUCUAGUAUGUAUGUUAAUACUGUGAAUUUAUUGCCACAUGCAUCGCCUAACUUUCUGUUUCCAUGACAUCUAUUUCUGUUUUCCUGGGAGUGUGCUCAGGUUGACUUAAAAAAAACAUUGGUAGUCUUAAAUGUUAAACAUCAAAUCAAGUCAUUCACGGCUUACGAAAUCCAAAAACAGCAGCCAAGUGAAACACUAUGUGUAGAAUUACUGCAAAUUGCAACGGAAAAAUGAAAAUUUCUGCAAAAAGCUGUGUGGGCAAACAUUGUAUAUUGGGUGGAUCCGCAAUUUCUUGUACACAUGUUUGUGAUCUGCAUAAAAAUAACAAAUUCGAACCACCACAAUUUGCUAUAUUAGCCCCUUUUUCUUGUUGUUUUUGUGCAAGCCACAGAACGUUUUCCCACAAAAUUUUGUAAUACCAUAGAACUUUCAGGAUACAGAGAGCAGUCGUGCUCCAACACAGGCCUACAAGCCUCCCUUGCCAUCGGGGUCCAUGCGAAGGUUGUGACUGGUGUGCGUGCCAGGUACGUGACGGUGCUUGAUUCUGUUUGAUGUUUGCUCACGAAGGAAGCAUGCGGAAGCAGCAAACGAUCGACUCAACUUUCUAUUGAAUGGGCCCGGAAUAUAUCUCGCACAGACGUCCUCUCAGUGUUCCUAAUUAAUUGCAUCAUAAGUCGCUAUCAAGGUAUUCAAACUCAAACCUCAAACAUGCGCUCAAGGACGAGGUCACAUGCAUGCAUAGUUUAUUUAUUUUUACAACAAUUAGUUCAUACUGUGGGUUGUCACCUGAGAAAUUGUUCAUUCUAAGUUGUGAUUUGGAUGGUUUUUAUUUAAUUGUUAAUUGAGCAGUUCA